UACGGAGGGUGCAAGCGUUAUCCGGAUUUACUGGGUUUAAAGGGUGUGUAGGCGGACUAUUAAGUCAGCGGUGAAAUCUCCGGGCUCAACCCGGAAACUGCCAUUGAUACUAUUAGUCUUGAAUGUUGUGGAGGUGGGCGGAACGGGUCAUGUAGCGGUGAAAUGCAUAGAUAUCAGGAGGAACACCUGUGGUGUAGACGCUUUCUGGACCAUAGCUGACGCUGAGACACGAAAGCGUGGGUAGCAAACAGG
rnacentral:rRNA from 1 species